GGAUUCAUUUAGCCCAUUGAUGGUGUUGUUGCUGGGGUCCAGGAUCAGAACUAUCUGGUGGAUGACACCGCUGAUCUGGUGGAUGACCCAGCUGAGUGCUGCUACAGAGGAGAUGUCUCCCCUGUGUGAAUUGUCAUGUGUAUGAUCACAUCUUGUUUCUGUCUAAAUCUUUUACCACAUUCAGAACAGUCAAAUGGUUUCUCUCCUGUAUGAAUUCUCGUGUCUGGUCAUAUUGCUCUUUUGUGCAAAUCUUUUACCACAUACAGAACAUUCAAAUGGUUUCUCUCCUGUAUGAACUCUCGUGUGUGAUCAUAUCAUGCUUGUGUACAAAUCUUUUACCACAUUCAGAACAGUCAAAUGGUUUUCUACUUCCUUGAAUUCUUCUGUGUUGCUUUGAGACCGAAAACGUUCUCUAGUCUGUUUCUGUUCACAACUGUUGUCAGUAUCAGUUUUAGAACUGUCUGAAUUCCUUCCAUUGGCAUCUGGUUUUAAACACCCAGUUACUGGCUGGUUGUGGUCCUCCAUUGUCCUCGCCAUCAGCUUGUGCUGUCAGUGUUCUGUGUACAGUUGAGUUGCUGGGUCCAGGCUCAGCCUCUGCGCUGUCAUCAGAUUGGCUUUGAUAAACCUGUGAUGACUGUGGUUUUUCAUUGCAUUCAUUCUUCAGAGGAACAACAGUGAAAGGGACCGUAAUGAUACCAGCCUCCUGCAAAAGGUGAAGUUGCUGUCCCUGCUGACAUAUCCAGAGUUUCUCUUGUUCCUCUUUAAUGUCCUCCUGGUCAACACUCAGGUUCCACUUCUGGUCAGCGAGAAUAUCUUCUUUCAUCACCAACAACUGGUGCAUGUCUGCGUUUCUGGUUGUUUGUGAUCCUCCACAGUCGUCUCCAUGACCUUCUGUUUUCAGUCUUCUGGGUUCAGUUGAGUUGCUGGCGAGAAGCUCCACUUCUGUACUCUCAUCUUUUUGGUUUUGAUGAAACUGCAAUGACUGCGUUUUUUCUUCAUCUUCACUCUUCACAG